rnacentral:rRNA from 1 species
UACAGAGGGGGCAAGCGUUAUUCGGAAUUAUUGGGCGUAAAGGGCGCGUAGGCGGCUUCGCAAGUGGAAGGUGAAAUCCCUCGGCUUAACCGAGGAACUGCCCUCCAAACUGCAUGGCUUGAGUCCGGGAGAGGUGAGUGGAAUUCCCAGUGUAGCGGUGAAAUGCGUAGAUAUUGGGAGGAACACCAGUGGCGAAGGCGGCUCACUGGACCGGAACUGACGCUGAGGCGCGAAAGCGUGGGGAGCAAACGGGG